rnacentral:rRNA from 1 species
GAUGAACGCUGGCGGCGUGCCUAAUACAUGCAAGUCGAGCGAACGGACGAGAAGCUUGCUUCUCUGAUGUUAGCGGCGGACGGGUGAGUAACACGUGGAUAACCUACCUAUAAGACUGGGAUAACUUCGGGAAACCGGAGCUAAUACCGGAUAAUAUUUUGAAACGCAUGGUUCAAAAGUGAAAGACGGUCUUGCUGUCACUUAUAGAUGGAUCCGCGCUGCAUUAGCUAGUUGGUAAGGUAACGGCUUACCAAGGCAACGAUGCAUAGCCGACCUGAGAGGGUGAUCGGCCACACUGGAACUGAGACACGGUCCAGACUCCUACGGGAGGCAGCAGUAGGGAAUCUUCCGCAAUGGGCGAAAGCCUGACGGAGCAACGCCGCGUGAGUGAUGAAGGUCUUCGGAUCGUAAAACUCUGUUAUUAGGGAAGAACAUAUGUGUAAGUAACUGUGCACAUCUUGACGGUACCUAAUCAGAAGGCCACGGCUAACUACGUG